rnacentral:rRNA from 1 species
UUGGAGGGCAAGUCUGGUGCCAGCAGCCGCGGUAAUUCCAGCUCCAAUAGCGUAUAUUAAAGUUGUUGCAGUUAAAAAGCUCGUAGUUGAACUUCGGGGUUUGCUCAUUGGUCAGGCUUAAUUGUCUGCACUGGUGGGAUAAAUCUCUACCUUCUGAGGAACUUUCAUGCCAUUUAUUUGGUGUGAUUGGAAAUCAGGACUGUUACUUUGAAAAAAUUAGAGUGUUUAAAGCAGGC